GAUGAACGCUGGCGGCGUGCCUAAUACAUGCAAGUCGAGCGAACAGACGAGGAUCUUGCUCCUCUGACGUUAGCGGCGGACGGGUGAGUAACACGUGGAUAACCUACCUAUAAGACUGGGAUAACUUCGGGAAACCUGAGCUAAUACCGGAUAACAUGUUGAACCGCAUGGUUCAACAGUGAAAGACGGUCUUGCUGUCACUUAUAGAUGGAUCCGCGCCGCAUUAGCUAGUUGGUAAGGUAACGGCUUACCAAGGCAACGAUGCGUAGCCGACCUGAGAGGGUGAUCGGCCACACUGGAGCUGGGACACGGUCCAGAAUCCUACGGGAGGCAGCAGUAGGGAAUCUUCCGCAAUGGGCGAAAGCCUGACGGAGCAACGCCGCGUGAGUGAAGAAGGUCUUCGGAUCGUAAAACUCUGUUAUUAGGGAAGAACAAAUGUGUAAGUAACUAUGCACGUCCUGACGGUACCUAGUCAAAAAGCCACGGCUAACUACGUG
rnacentral:rRNA from 1 species